rnacentral:rRNA from 1 species
UGGGGAAUAUUGCACAAUGGGCGCAAGCCUGAUGCAGCCAUGCCGCGUGUGUGAAGAAGGCCUUCGGGUUGUAAAGCACCUUCAGCGGAGAGGAAGGCGUUAAGGUUAAUAACCUUGGCGAUUGACGUUACCCGCAGAAGAAGCACCGGCUAACUCCGUGCCAGCAGCCGCGGUAAUACGGAGGGUGCAAGCGUUAAUCGGAAUUACUGGGCGUAAAGCGCACGCAGGCGGUCUGUCAAGUCGGAUGUGAAAUCCCCGGGCUCAACCUGAGAACUGCAUUCGAAACUGGCAGGCUAGAGUCUUGUAGAGGGGGGUAGAAUUCCAAGUGUAGCGAUGAAAUGCGUAGAGAUCUGGAGGAAUACCGGUGGCGAAGGCGGCCCCCUGGACAAAGACUGACGCUCAGGUGCGAAAGCGUGGGGAGCAAACAGG